AUAUCGGAACAUGUCCGGAAGUGGGGGAUAACGUACCGAAGUUACGCUAAUACCGCAUAUGCCCUGAGGGGGAAAGGGGGGGAUCGCAAGACCUCUCGCUUUCGGAGUGGCCGAUAUCGGAUUAGCUAGUUGGUGAGGUAAAGGCUCACCAAGGCGACGAUCCGUAGCUGGUCUGAGAGGACGACCAGCCACACUGGAACUGAGACACGGUCCAGACUCCUACGGGAGGCAGCAGUGGGGAAUUUUGGACAAUGGGCGCAAGCCUGAUCCAGCCAUACCGCGUGAGUGAAGAAGGCCUUCGGGUUGUAAAGCUCUUUCAGCCGGAAAGAAAUCGUGCAGAUUAAUACUCUGUAUGGAUGACGGUACCGGAAGAAGAAGCACCGGCUAACUACGUGCCAGCAGCCGCGGUAAUACGUAGGGUGCGAGCGUUAAUCGGAAUUACUGGGCGUAAAGCGUGCGCAGGCGGUUUGGUAAGACAGACGUGAAAUCCCCGGGCUUAACCUGGGAACUGCGUUUGUGACUGUCAGACUAGAGUGUAGCAGAGGGGGGUAGAAUUCCACGUGUAGCAGUGAAAUGCGUAGAUAUGUGGAGGAAUACCAAUGGCGAAGGCAGCCCCCUGGGUUAACACUGACGCUCAUGCACGAAAGCGUGGGGAGCAAACAGGAUUAGAUACCCUGGUAGUCCACGCCCUAAACGAUGUCAACUAGGUGUUGGGGAAGGAGACUUCUUUAGUACCGCAGCUAACGCGUGAAGUUGACCGCCUGGGGAGUACGGUCGCAAGAUUAAAACUCAAAGGAAUUGACGGGGACCCGCACAAGCGGUGGAUUAUGUGGAUUAAUUCGAUGCAACGCGAAAAACCUUACCUACCCUUGACAUGUCAGGAAGUUUCCAGAG
rnacentral:rRNA from 1 species